UCGUCUCUUUCUCACCGCCGGCAGCACACACUCACACCCUCACUCUUUCACACUCUCAUCGGCAGCACAAUCCAUUUCCACCACCGGCAGCCGCUCGUUUCUCUGAACACACACACAACUGGCAGCCCCCACAAGAUCCAUCAUUUACCCUCCUUCGUCACAAGCCAUCGACAAUCCCACAAGAAUUCUUAUUUUCUUCUUAUUUCUCUCGCUUUUGUUU
rnacentral:lncRNA from 1 species